rnacentral:misc_RNA from 1 species
GCUUCUCUGUACCAUUUGAGGAAGGCGGGGUCCUUGCCGAGGCCGAGGGGGUCGAAGCCGUAGUCUCCUGGUAGCGAGCCAUCAAGCCAUUCUGGGUCAAGGAAGUCCGGCCCACCCUUGAUGGCCGGAAUCCACGAUUUCUUGGAUGCCGCAGCAGCAACGACAACAUUCCUCCUUGGUGCAACUUCCGCAUUCUUCCCACCCGCAGUGGGUGCUGCGAGGAGGGUGCGGGCGGUCCGGGAGCCGGAGAGGAAUGGGGUGGAGAGACCUUGAAGGAGGGCGGAGGUGGAAGCCACUGCCAUUGCUCAAGUUUGGUUUGCU